CCCGCAUAUGUCUCUUCAGCAGAGGCUGCCAAAAGUACAUCAUAAAAUCCUACUGAGAUCAUGCUCAGUGGUGGAACUACAAAAUAGGGUUCUGUGAGUUGCAUUCUCAAGUUUUUGAGAGACGCUUUGAAUCCUCAUUUUGACAUCUGGAGACUUUUAGACAUGGAUAAAUAAGCAAACAGGUAAGAAGUAUUGUGUGAAGUAAGUGUGUAAUUCUGUACAGAAAAUACUUGCUCCGCAGAAUGGAGACACACACUGACAGUUUCAUUCCACUUGUAUCCUAUUUCCUUCCUAUUCAGCUCUUGGAGCUAUUUACACUUGUAAAAGAAGAGUCCUGAUGAGUCUAAGGCCCUUGCAACCCUAAGCUUCAGCACCACAACAGGGAAGAAAUGCAGAAAAAGACAAGGUUGUGGCAGUCAUCUACAACUUGAGGAGUGGUUUAUUUUGUACGUGUGGCUUGAUUCCAGUUUGCCUGCCCUGCCAGUAUUUCCACCUAGGAGCAGGGAAACAGAAAGUGAGGAGAUAGGCUGAAACUCACCAGGAUUACUUUUCUGCACGUGUAGUUACAGCAGUUGGACCGAGAUGAGCCAUCAUCACCGAGGUGCAGAGCAGCAGACUGGUGAGAUCAUUCCUUUUACACUCACUCACACAGAGGCAGAAUCAGUUUCCAAGCCCAACUUUCUAUUUUCUCCGAUCUGCGCAGGAGAAAGAGGCUAAAAGUUGAGUUACAGCAUUCCUUCUUGCAAGUGGCAGCCAGCACAAGACAGCAUUACAAUUCACAAAACUGUGUUUGACAACAUUAAGUGAUCUCCCAGCAACAAAAAAGGCGUUUUCCUCUUUCCUGAACUCUUGAGAAAACUUUCCUGAGGGAUUUCCCAUGGGAAACGAUCCCAGUUGCACAUAACAGGCAGUGCGGUGGUCCCUGCAGCCGGGCACCCCUGCACGCUAUUUUUCCAUGCAGCUGCCCACCUGGCUCCUCUCACUUCCCUCAGCCCUCCCAGCUGCACAAACAGAGGGGCACGCAGCCAUCUCAACGCGCUUCCUCCUGCGGCCCUGCAGGGCGGGCCGGCCGGCCGUCCUGCUCGUACAGCAACUGCUUUAACGGCCCGAGACAUCCAGCUCUUCCCCAUUACGUGCACCACGGGACCGGGCUGCUCCCCGCAGCGCGCACGCGGCUCGGGCCCUACCGGGCAGCGCUCAGCAGCGCGCUCAGCGCCUAUGUGGCCACGAAGGCUGGAAGCGAGCGCGCCCGCUCUGCGCUAAGGUCUGCGUUCGGUCUCUAUUCAGCACGUGUAAACGUCAGUGCGGGGUGAAAAGAGAAACUGCAACGAAUGUCUGGAAAGCUGAGCGCUCAGUCCUCGGCAGGAAUCUGGACUCUGCUAGAGGCUCCUCAGACACCCGGCAAUCACAGAGCCGUUGAGGCUGGAGACGAGCACUGAGACGGGCACGGCCGCUAAGCGCGCCCCUCAGCGCCGCACCUGCGCGGCUGUCCC
ensembl:lncRNA